AUGCAGUUCGAACGAUUAAACUCGCCUUCGGGUGAGAUAUAAAGUGGCGCACGGCCUGNNUAACACGAUAGGUAAUGUGCCUUUGGGUGGGGAAUAACUUAGGGAAACUUAAGCUAAUACCGCAUAAUGCAGCGGCUCCUUCGGGAGACAGUUGUUAAAGAUUUAUCGCCUAAAGAGCAGCCUGCGGCAGAUUAGCUAGUUGGUAAGGUAACGGCUUACCAAGGCUACGAUCUGUAUCCGACCUGAGAGGGUGGUCGGACACACUGACACUGAAUAACGGGUCAGACUCCUACGGGAGGCAGCAGUCAGGAAUUUUGGGCAAUGGGCGAAAGCCUGACCCAGCAACGCCGCGUGAAGGAUGAAGUCUCUCGGGAUGUAAACUUCGUAAGAAUAGGAAGAAUAAAUGACGGUACUAUUUGUAAGGUCCGGCUAACUACGUGCCAGCAGCCGCGGUAAUACGUAGGGACCAAGCGUUGUUCGGAUUUACUGGGCGUAAAGGGCGCGUAGGCGGCGUGUCAAGUCAAUUGUGAAAUCUCCGAGCUUAACUCGGAACGGUCAAUUGAUACUGAUGUGCUAGAGUGCAGAAGGGGCAAUCGGAAUUCUUGGUGUAGCGGUGAAAUGCGUAGAUAUCAAGAGGAACACCUGAGGUGAAGACGGGUUGCUGGGCUGACACUGACGCUGAGGCGCGAAAGCUAGGGUAGCAAACGGGGAUUAGAUACCCCGGUAGUCCUAGCCCUAAACGAUGAAUACUUGGUGUCUGGAGUUUUAAUUCUCCGGGUGCCGUCGCUAACGUUUUUAGUAUUCCGCCUGGGGAGUACGCACGCAAGUGUGAACUCAAAGGGAUUGACGGGGACCCGCACAAGCGGUGGAGCAUGUGGUUUUAUU
rnacentral:rRNA from 1 species